rnacentral:lncRNA from 1 species
GCCGAGGCGCGCUGUCCGGGUGGUGGGAGCUCAACCCGCGACCGCGGCUACGAUUCUCUUGGCUCCUGCCCUCGCCUUAGUCGCUCUGCGGGGUUGGUUCGGUCCCGGCACUUCCAGAGGCCUCAGGGUCCUGGUCUUGUAGAGACUUCCUGAACGGUGGCGCCUGUUCCAGUGUGUGUGCGCUAACUGCCUGUUCUGUGCCAGCCGCGCGUGGCCGAAGGGCGGGAGGACGGGGGUUGUGGAGGGGAGGAUGGAGGUUGGGGAGACAGGGCGGGGACGAGAUAAGAGGUCGGGGGGUGGGGAGGAUGGUCGCGGGGCGGUCUGGGGCUGGAGACAAGGGGCCUGAGGUGCGGGUACGCACUGAACAUUCCAACCGUCCCCAGCCGGCCGGGUUUCAGGUUUGAAAAGGUGGGAAGGUUAGCUGUCCUGGCGCUUUUCCUCCACGUGUUGUGCGGCUCCGCUGGAGUUCGGGUCCAGCACCUUCUACUCCGAGGGAGAGAGCCGCGGGGAGAGCCCUGUUCGGGCCCGCGGCUCGAACUGACCGCCGGCUCUGCCGAGCAGCCUCGACCCCAGGGCACCCCCGGGAGAGAGGGCGCGGCUCAGGUCCCUGCCCGAACCCCUGGGGUGCUGAGAGACUCCCCAGCGCCCCGCGUGGGCUCCCGGCCUCUCCACAGUUGAGGAUCCUGUAAGGGGCGAGCCCUUUUUCCCAUAAUGGCUGUAGUGAGUGGGUGUGCUUUCCCGAUUGACCCGCUGUGAGGUGAGCGAUUUUAACCCACAUCCUUACUGACUUCACAGCACAGUAGGUGCUUCGUGGCUGUCCGGUGCAAGGAUGUAUAUACACACACACCUUUGCAAAAAAAGUUUGCAUCUCUUGCCUGGCUGUUUGUUGCAAUAAUCUAUCAUUUGUCUUUUCCUUUCCAGCAUUGCAGAUGAUCCCUUGAAAAGAAGUCUGAUCACAUUCACACUCUGCUCCGCCCAUUUCACUCAGUAAAGCUGAAGUCCUGCAGUGCUUUGCUCUGCCUCCGGUCACCCCGCCAUACUCCCAGACCCUCCCUCCCUCUCACUCCACUCCAGCUGCCCUGGCCUGGUUCAGAGUCCCUGACUCUUCCCUCCCCGGAAACACUUUCUGGCGGCUCUUGUCCCCGACUCUUCCCACCUGCUCUUUCAGUCUUUGCUCAAAUGUUGCCUCUUCAGUGUGGCCUAGGCCGUCACCACCCGGCCUUCACCGCAUACCUUUUUCUCUGCAACACCUACUCAACACACCGUACUAUAGAACUUACUGGCAUGCUAUAAAUGUAUUACCCUUAUCUGUUGCCUCUAACCAAAAGCGUGUUCCAUGAGAGCCAUGGGUCCCUGCCUACUUCUGUCUUGUUUCUGGGGCAGCCUCUGUACCUGGACAUCGUAUACUCUUAACACGGAUUUGUCAAAUCAAAUGAAAUUUAACAAUACAAACUUCACAAGUAUGCAUAGUGUAGGAAAAUUCCCCAAAAUUCAAAAUUUCAGUCUACCUCCAUCUUUUCAAAUGACCACAGUGCUUUAUAAAAUGACAUGGUCCUUUGAGACUGUUUCAGAGAGUAAUUUGUGCAAAUGCAAUGUGCAAAAAGUCACAGUGGAGGUGUUUCCUCCCCCAUUCAAGAGCUGCUCUCUCUCUAAUCAGACAGCACCCCACACCCCAAGGCAGUCUGUCCAGUGCUCCUAAAGGAGAGCAGCUCCCCUUUUCCAGUUAUGGGAGAUGUGGGCAAUAAAGCAUUACUGUCAAUGCCGUGAUGUUCACUGCAACAUAUGCUUGAUGUUUUCAUAAUUUUAUCCAUCUUUUUCAGACAUCUUACUGCAGAACACUGUAUGUUUUCCAAUUAUUAUUUUUCAGAAAUGUGGUUUACAGCUUCUAUCAGGAUUAGCUUCAGCUUCAAGUGACAAAAGUCACUUGAAAUAUGAGUUGCUGAAACAAGAUGGCAGUCUCUCCCCUCAACAGGACUGUUACAACACCUUAUCUUCAGAGAACCAGGCUCUCUGCAACAUUUCAGGGACGUCGUUCAGUACCUUAUGUGGAAUUCAAGCUUAGCUGGGCAUCCUAUGUUUUAACUGGCUAACUCGUGGAACUCUCAACUUGGAUCAAGUGGUAGUGGAGUCCCAGGGACUCUGAGCAGCCAGUGUGUGAUACUGCAGGGCAGCACACCCUGGGGAGGCCAACUGUACAGAAUAAAAUUAAUGCUUUC